rnacentral:tRNA from 1 species
GCGCCCGUAGCCUAACUGGAAAGGCGCUCGUCUUCUAAACGAGCUAGAUGCUGGUUCGACUCCAGCCGGGCGUACCA